GAUGAACGCUAGCGGCAGGCUUAAUACAUGCAAGUCGAACGCCCCGCAAGGGGAGUGGCAGACGGGUGAGUAACACGUGGGAACGUACCCUUCGGUUCGGGAUAACUCAGGGAAACUUGAGCUAAUACCGGAUACGUCCGAGAGGAGAAAGAUUUAUCGCCGAGGGAUCGGCCCGCGUCUGAUUAGCUUGUUGGUGAGGUAACGGCUCACCAAGGCGACGAUCAGUAGCUGGUCUGAGAGGAUGAUCAGCCACAUUGGGACUGAGACACGGCCCAAACUCCUACGGGAGGCAGCAGUGGGGAAUAUUGGACAAUGGGCGCAAGCCUGAUCCAGCCAUGCCGCGUGAGUGAUGAAGGCCCUAGGGUUGUAAAGCUCUUUUACCGGGAAGAUAAUGACUGUACCGGGAGAAUAAGCCCCGGCUAACUUCGUGCCAGCAGCCGCAGUAAG
rnacentral:rRNA from 1 species